ensembl:antisense Gm13954 predicted gene 13954
AGAUUGAAGUGCAUUCGUUCUCCAUUUUACUUCAUGAGCAGGCAAUGUUGAGCACAAAGGAUAGGUCUGCUUUCUAAAUAAGGGGAUCCACUUCUGGCUCCAAGAUUGAUGCUGAGUGGAGAAAAAUGGUGGCCAAAAAAACAGGACCUGGAAGUUGGCCAUGUCACUUUUACUCACAGCCUAAACUUAAACAUGACAGACUGAGCUGCAAAAGAGGCUUUUUGUUUAAAGGAACUGCCAAUCUGGCUGGUGGGCUGGCCGGCCAGCAAGCUUCGGGACCUACCUGUUUCUGUUACCUAAUGCUGAAGUACAGCACAAGCAGCCAUGCUUGGCAACUGAACUCAGGUCUUCACGUUCCUAAGGCAAGUGCUCUUACCCACUGAUCCACCUCUCCAACCUCUAAUUAUUACACGUUUACAUUUACAUUAUUAUAACAUUAUAUUGCAAGCAUUCUACACUCAAUUAAAACACUACAGUGUGGCACACUUCUGCUCAAUUUUUCAUGAACUGUACACAGCUCAUAUACAGCCUGGCGAGAGGAAA